rnacentral:rRNA from 1 species
AGAUUGAACGCUGGCGGCAUGCCUUACACAUGCAAGUCGAACGGUAACGCGGGGCAACCUGGCGACGAGUGGCGAACGGGUGAGUAAUGCAUCGGAACGUGCCCAGUAGUGGGGGAUAGCCCGGCGAAAGCCGGAUUAAUACCGCAUACGACCUACGGGUGAAAGCGGGGGACUCGCAAGAGCCUCGCGCUAUUGGAGCGGCCGAUGUCAGAUUAGCUAGUUGGUAGGGUAAAAGCCUACCAAGGCGACGAUCUGUAGCUGGUCUGAGAGGACGACCAGCCACACUGGGACUGAGACACGGCCCAGACUCCUACGGGAGGCAGCAGUGGGAAUUUGGACAAUGGGCGCAAGCCUGAUCCAGCCCUGCCGCGUGCGGGAAGAAGGCCUUCGGGUUGUAAACCGCUUUUGUCAGGUAAGAAACGCUCUGGCUAAUACCCUUGGUAAUGACGGUACCUGAAGAAUAAGCACCGGCUAACUACGUGCCAGCAGCCGC